GGCGGAGGGAAGCUCAUCGGUGGGGCCACGAACUGAGUGCACUCGUCACUCUAGACUUUGUCCCUUGGGAAGGUCUGAGACUAGGGCCAGAGGCGGCCUUAACAGGGCCCUCCUUGAGUUUCGGGGAGGUGAGUUCCCAGAAAACGGGGCUCCGCGCGCGGGGCGACUGGGCAGGAGAAGCCGUGGGCUCCACUCUCGGGCGGGGUCCGGCGGAUGCCUCCUUCGCCGGAGCUUGGAACAGACUCACGGCCAGCGAAGUGAGUUCAAUGGCUGAGGUGAGGCACACCCCUUGGGGGCCUCAUAACCCAAUUCAGACUACUCUCCCCCGUC
rnacentral:RNase_P_RNA from 1 species